rnacentral:rRNA from 1 species
UACGGAGGGUGCGAGCGUUGUCCGGAAUCACUGGGCGUAAAGGGCGCGUAGGCGGCCUGAUAAGUAGGGGGUGAAAUCCUGCGGCUUAACCGCAGGGCUGCCUUCUAAACUGUCAGGCUAGAGCACGGUAGAGGCAGAUGGAAUUCCCGGUGUAGCGGUGGAAUGCGUAGGGAUCGGGAAGAACAUCAGUGGCGAAGGCGGUCUGCUGGGCCGUUGCUGACGCUGAGGCGCGACAGCGUGGGGAGCAAACAGG